GGAGUUUGGGCCGUGUCUCAGUCCCAAUGUGGCCGUUUACCCUCUCAGGCCGGCUACUGAUCGUCGCCUUGGUGGUCCGUUACACCGCCAACUAGCUAAUCAGACGCGGGUCCAUCUUAUACCACCGGAGUUUUUCACACUAUGAGAUGCCUCAUCGUGCGCUUAUGCGGUAUUAGCAGCCGUUUCCAACUGUUGUCCCCCGGUAUAAGGCAGGUUGCCCACGCGUUACUCACCCGUCCGCCACUAAGAUUACAACUUAGCAAGCUAAAAAGUAAUCUCCGUUCGACUUGCAUGUGUUAAGCACGCCGCCAGCGUUCAUC
rnacentral:rRNA from 1 species